rnacentral:lncRNA from 1 species
CAUGUUUAUUUGAUUAUUAAUUUUAGUACUUAAGGACCGUCAACAAACUUCCCCAAGCUUACCCUUUGCUCAUCCCUGAGCAAAUAGCUAAACUCAGACGGAUCAGGAGUUGCUUCGAUGUUUUCUUUCCUGACAGGCACACAUGCAUUUACAAAAUUCUUCCAGAUUAGAGUGAAGUGUUAUGGAACUUAGUACCUGCACUUAAGUCUCUAAGUAAUUGAAAGACAAAAUAAUUAAGUCAAGCACUAUUCCUCCUGUCUAUACUUCACCUUUGUUCCAGAGUUUUUCAUAAGUUUUCAAAAUAAAACUCAGAGUUCCCAGCAAUGAUUCUCUCAAGUCUCUCUAUAUGUGGUAUUUGUGGAUCCUUACCAAAAUAUCACUUACCUAUAGCUAAUGGAAUAUUUAAGUGGAGCUCAUAGGAAUGAAAAACAGCUCAUACAUAUGUUGUCUAAUCGAGCCAUGGAUCCAAAGGAACUCAGCAUAUAAUUAUAUUAAGAUGUGCAUGUGUGAUGGAGUAAAUGAUAGUGAUGGUAGAAAUGUAUAAGUGAUAAUAAAACUUCGUUCUCAUUGCUCCUCAUAUUGCUACCUCUUCUCUUCUUUGAUCUUUGCUUUGGGAGAACAUGGGCUAUCUCUUUUUUUUCUUCUCUCUUUUUUUCAGAUGGGUAGUAGAUACCGCUAAUUCUACUGUCGGACACUUGUCCAUUUUUUCCGCUCAAGUGGGCAUCUUUGUACCCCUAAUUCUACUUUGGACACUUGUCCAUUUUUACCUCUCGUCUCACUCUUUUUCUUUCUUUUUCGAGGUUCUGGGCACUUGCCUCUUUUUAUUUCCUCGCAUAUUUUUGCAUAACCCGUGCCUCUUCUGCAUUAAAUCUUUUUAGAGAGAGAGAAUAACAAUACUUGGGACAAUGAGUGAUAAUAUUUUUAGCAACUUUAAUAAAUGGUGGUGGAUGGUGUGGUAGAUGUGUGCAAGUGAAUAUCUUAAUUUAACCACAUGAAAAGCUCCUAAGGGUCUACACAGCUCGAUCAAACUCAAAGUGAAUAUAGUAAAAGAUGUUAUAGCAAGCAUGACUGUGGUAGGUAGUUUGUAAUGCUAGGAACUCAUCAUGUGAUUUGCAAGUUUUCAAAAUAAAUCUACAGAACUUAGUGUACUAGGAACAAGAUAAACAGUAGCUCACUUUAUAUCAUGCCUUUCUCUUACCUAGACUUUUAGUUUUAUGCUUCCCAAAGAUCGUAAUUUCAGUUUUAAUAAUUGCUGGAAGAACUCUAAUAUAAAAGCUAGGUACUUGAAAGUAAACAAACAGAGCAACUAUUCAUCAUUUCCAUCAUGCAUCUUUUUGGUCUUUUUAUUUUUCUAGAGAUUAAGACUUAGCAGAUAAAUAAAGCACACUUAUCUACACACUCUUUUUAUUUUGUUUUCAUGUUUAUAAAAUGCAGUAAAUUAAAGCAAGAAAAUAUUUAUUGGGUU